UACGGAGGGUGCAAGCGUUAUCCGGAUUCCCUGGGUUUCAAGGGUGCGUAGGUGGGUUGGUAAGUCAGUGGUGCAAUCUCUAGGCUUAACCUGGAAACUGCCAUUGAUUCUAUCAGUCUUGAAUAUUGUGGAGGUCAGCGGAAUAUGUCAUGUAGCGGUGAAAUGCUUAGAUAUGACAUAGAACACCAAUUGCGAAGGCAGCUGGCUACGCAUAUAUGGACACUGAGGCACGAAAGCGUGGGGAUCAAACAGG
rnacentral:rRNA from 1 species